rnacentral:rRNA from 1 species
AUUGAACGCUGGCGGCAGGCCUAACACAUGCAAGUCGAGCGGAUGGAGGGAGCUUGCUCCUGGAUUUAGCGGCGGACGGGUGAGUAAUGCCUAGGAAUCUGCCUGGUAGUGGGGGAUAACGUCCGGAAACGGGCGCUAAUACCGCAUACGUCCUGAGGGAGAAAGUGGGGGAUCUUCGGACCUCACGCUAUCAGAUGAGCCUAGGUCGGAUUAGCUAGUUGGUGGGGUAAAGGCCUACCAAGGCGACGAUCCGUAACUGGUCUGAGAGGAUGAUCAGUCACACUGGAACUGAGACACGGUCCAGACUCCUACGGGAGGCAGCAGUGGGGAAUAUUGGACAAUGGGCGAAAGCCUGAUCCAGCCAUGCCGCGUGUGUGAAGAAGGUCUUCGGAUUGUAAAGCACUUUAAGUUGGGAGGAAGGGCAGCAAGUUAAUACCUUGCUGUUUUGACGUUACCAACAGAAUAAGCACCGGCUAACUUCGUG